rnacentral:rRNA from 5 species
GGUUAAGCGACUAAGCGUACACGGUGGAUGCCCUGGCAGUCAGAGGCGAUGAAGGGCGUGCUAAUCUGCGAUAAGCGCCGGUAAGGUGAUAUGAACCGUUAUAACCGGCGAUACCCGAAUGGGGAAACCCAGUGUGACUCGUCACACUAUCAUUAACUGAAUCCAUAGGUUAAUGAGGCGAACCGGGGGAACUGAAACAUCUAAGUACCCCGAGGAAAAGAAAUCAACCGAGAUUCCCCCAGUAGCGGCGAGCGAACGGGGAGGAGCCCAGAGCCUGAAUCAGCAUGUGUGUUAGUGGAAGCGUCUGGAAAGGCGCGCGAUACAGGGUGACAGCCCCGUACACAAAAGCGCAUGUGUUGUGAGCUCGAUGAGUAGGGCGGGACACGUGGUAUCCUGUCUGAAUAUGGGGGGACCAUCCUCCAAGGCUAAAUACUCCUGACUGACCGAUAGUGAACCAGUACCGUGAGGGAAAGGCGAAAAGAACCCCGGCGAGGGGAGUGAAAAAGAACCUGAAACCGU